GUCUGCAGUGACAGGAACAGGGGGAGACCCAGAGUGAAACAGAUCAACACCUCUGUUCCCCCAGUGAAGGUGUUGAAUGGUGUGUGUGUGUGUAUGUAUUUGUGUGUGUGUGUAUG